CACGCAAACACGGGGAGAACAUGCAAACUCCACACAGAAAGACCCUGGCCUGAUGGUGGAAUUGAACUCAGGACCUUCUUGCUGUGCGGCAACAGUGCUAACCACCGUGCCACCGUGCUGCCCGAUUUAGAGCCCAUUAUCCCAUAUUUGCAAACUGAUGAGGAUUAAUCUCAUAAGUCAUGACAAAACACUCUUAAGAAAAACCCAAUCCCAGGUAAGCCAAAGAAAAUGGAUGGAGAUGAAUGGAUGGAGACUGAGCCAUCUAUUGCACGUGGGUAGGCAUGCAAGAGUAACUGGUCAACCCAGUAUAACGGCAAAACAUCUAACAGACACACCAGUUUGUUCAUGUUGGCCUAAAAUAAAAUAUUUCCCUCUGCUGUUAUUGCAGCUUAAUGCAACUUAUUGCAGCUUCUGCACGCAUGUACAUUUCACAUUUUUGAGAGGCAAAGCAUCAAAUGGACACGGUGGACCGGCGUGUCUGUUACAGGCUUUGCCGUGAUAUUGGGCUGAACUGGUUCACAUGAUAAUAGUUCCUGUAUCAUACUAAAGAGAAUUUUCUAGUUUAAUUUUUUACACUUAGUCAAGAGUUGUACUGUCUUCUGGUCUGACUGUCACUUUCAGCACUAAUCCACUGAUUAAGUAGAUUUAACAAAAUUAACAUAAUAAUUGUAUCCUUAAUUAACCUGCUCAUUAUCUAAAGGUGAAAGUUCCUGCUAAUAUUCAACAAAGACUUAUUCAAAUGACCACUUGGAGUCACUUCACAUAAAAAAGUAUAACUGUAUGUCUUCAUAAAUUGUUUGCCCUAAAGACCCAUCAGUCUGUUCUUUAGGGGAGGACAGUGGCUCAACUGUGGCCUGUGUGUUCACAGCUAUGCAUUUGCACACAUACAGGUGUGAUCUGCUCAGCAACCACUGCUGAGCUGUUGUUCUAAAACAAUCCGCUCCCACACAUGUGUGGCUCAGUGUUGGCAACAUUUUAAUGAGAACCAAUCUGCCUGUCAGUUUGAAGUGUGACUCGGUGUGACACAUUAAACUGUUAUAGCUGCAUGACUCAGUAGAGUUAUUAAAGAGAUGUUCAGAAACCUGUUCAUUUUCCAAAUGAAUGUGUGAACAGGCAAGUAUCUUGUGAAGAAAGUUUACAUGAAAAAAAAAUGUCAGCUCCGAGUCAAAAAAAAAUUCUGUGCUUACUUUUUUUCUUUCAUUUUCACUCAGUCAAUAAGUCAGUGGAUGUUUACUUAGGGCUAGUGUGAUAAAGACAGUGAUGUGAUUUUGGGUGCAUACCAAGUGUACAAAACGAGCUAAAAAAAAGCUAAAAACAAAAAAAGAUUUAAUACAGCGAUACAGAUAUCUACUCUGCAAAGUCCCCCAGAAAAGGUCUUAAGGUCAACAGUGUGCAGCGUGAAGUCUGAAUGUUGCAUUCAGUUGUCCGAGAGAUGUUUGUUUCUGUGGUUUUCCUGUGAGCAUGCUGUUCACUACAUGGUCUACAUAAUGGUUGCGGUUUGUGAAUUUUUAUCUUGUGACAUCUUUGAGAUGCACAGGCACAGUUUAAAGUUGAAGUGGAAAUUCAAAGUGCAGUUCUCUGAAAUCAAUAAUGACUGCUGCUAUAACUUCCAAAAUACUAACCCUCUAGAGUUUGCCUCCUGACUACCUAAAAGUAAACAAAAACAUAGCAAAUACCAAUUUAAUUAUAAAUAUUCAAAAAUUCACACAAUAUAACUAAGAAAAACACAAAUAAAUGUGGAUUUUUAGGUCACUCUCUUCUAAGUCGCUGUAUAUGCAACCUAUCUAUCACUCACUUGGCCGAUAGUCUGAUUUCUCAGACCUUUAAUCUAGUUUGGUGCUCAGUUCAAAUAAAAUAAUUAUAGUAGGUGAUUUAAAUACCAUAUACACGUUGAAAAUAAAAGCCUUGACACUGGACAUUGUGGCACCUCUGAAAAAGAAAACCAAUCAGAGAAGCUUGUUGCUUUCUCACAAAGGCACACCUUAAAGCAGAUAACUUAUAAGCUAGAGAGAAAAUGGUGUUGCACUAAUGCUGAAGAUCUUCAUUUGGCCUGGAAUAUAGUUUACUACUUAAAAAAACAAACAAACAAACAACAACAACCCCAAAAGGUUGAUUCUGUUCAUCUGGACGUGGCGUUUUCAGUGGGAGAAACAUUUCGUCACUCAUCCAAGUGACUUCUUCAGUCUCAGCUGACUGCAGGUUUCCCCAGCAUUAUAAACUGUCAUGGUCCCCGUGUCUUGCCGGCUGACCCUGUGCUAGGCGACGUUUUGUUUUUGUUUUUGCGUGUGCGCUCUCUCUCUCUCCUCUGCUGGGGCGGUGCUCAUUACAGGCUCUCGCCUCUGGCCCACGCACCUGUGUUCAAUCUUCACACCUGCCAUUGGUCUUCAGUAAUCCUGAGCUCUAUUUAAGAUGGCGGUUCUACACUACUCGUCGCUGGAUUGUUGAGUAAUCCGCAUUUACCCUGGACCUGCCCUUGUAACUCUGAGAGUCCCGCGAGUGAGGAGUGGCAUGAGUGUGAGUGGCUGCAAAGGAAAGCGGAGAGGAAUUCCGAGAAGAGAGGAGUGUGUGUGUGGACCCCCUUCCUGUGCCUGAGUCCAUUUAAGAACUCUGACAUAAACAGUACAUCGUACUUGGCUCUAAAUUAGUUUUCAAAACGUUUAUUGCUUAAAAAUGCUCAAAACAGUGUCAGGGAUAUAUCAUUUUGCAGAGUUAACACAUUACAGUCUACAUUUUAAAUAUUUAAAUCAGUUUACAGCUCACUGAUAAAAGUCAAAUCUAAUUACUAUUUACUAUUCAGAUGGAAAAUAAAUGAAAAAAGAAGUGUCAUUAUUUCAUUUUAAACUUUUGAAUGAGAUAUUGUUGGAUUUAGGCCCCAGAGGUAAUGAUGGCAGAACAGGUGCAAGUCUGAACUAUAGCUUUGCUCUCCGUGUAUCCUGGUGGAUUUCCACUGUACCAAAAUGUAUCUUCAUCCUGUGAAGGGACAUUUGUUCUUCACAAUCAUGAUCAUUUUGACUUCCUGUAAGUCUUUAUCGGGACUGUAAGUCUUUUCUGUAUGUCUAUCCUUUUGAUCCCGGUUGUUUUCUACGUUGCCUAAUUAUAUUUACCACUUACCCCUACCCUCUGGGUUGUAACAGUUAGGGUGAGUCAUAAUUUUAAUAGUGCUUCCCACUGUGCUGCAUCCUCAGCUUAUCAUCUUGUUUUGUACCUGAAUCCCUAAUAGGACCAGUGGAUGCAUUUCUUUGUUAAAUUGAUUUACAUUUUUCUGUAUAAUCAGUAAAGUUGCUUGUAACAGUUCUUGUACUCGACAUUUUCGACUGUUCGAUUUGUUUUUAAUGUAUUCAACAUUUUAGCAUUUACAGAUGUUUUAAAAUUAAAAUGGUGAUCCUGACUAUUACUAAUUGUAAAAAUCCACAUGUGGAAAACAAUUUCAGCUGAGUGCUUUGAUUCUUUGAUUCCUGUUGAUUUAUUGGUCAUACAGGUUUUCUGUUUUCAAAAAAUAAAGAGCAAAACAACAUAUAUAGAGAUCUUACUGACAGAUACAAUAUAUCUAAGGCUGAGUCACAGUUAUUUUGUGAAACUGGCUUGAGAUCCAGCAGGCCUUGCCAGUAAUCUUUUUUUGUAUAAUAUUAGUCUGUGAGGAUGUGUAUGAUCAAUAAAUAAUGAAGGCACAAAUGUUUACUAGUUGUUGUAUAUGUAGU